AUUGAACGCUGGCGGCAGGCCUAACACAUGCAAGUCGAGCGGACGAACGGAGCGUUCUCCCCGCUUCCGUUGGCGACGGGCGGGUAAUUCCCAGGUAUAUCCCCUUCAUAUGGGGCUAGCGUCACGACGCGGGACCGCAUACCCUACACGUUCAUAUGUUGAAACGGGGGGAUCAAUGGUUCUUGACCGUUUUGCUGAGCCUAGGACGGAUUAGCUAGUUGGUGGGGUAAAGGCCUACCAAGGCGACGAUCCGUAGCUGGUCUGAGAGGAUGAUCAGUCACACUGGAACUGAGACACGGUCCAGACUCCUACGGGAGGCAGCAGUGGGGAAUAUUGGACAAAGGGCGAAAGCCUGAUCCAGCCAUGCCGCGUGUGUGAAGAAGGUCUUCGGAUUGUAAAGCACUUUUAGUUGGGAGGAAGGGCAGUAAGUUAAUACCUUGCUGUUUUGACGUUACCAACAGAAUAAGCACCGGCUAACUUCGUG
rnacentral:rRNA from 1 species